GGAUGUGAGGGCUAUCUGCUGCUGUUACCCCAUUGAUCGCCAGGGUUUAUUCGGCUGAUCUGGCUAGCCAGGCCUCACUGGUGUCCCCUCUCUUCCCACCUCACGAUCCAUGUGUCUCCCUCUCUCCACAUGCAUCCCUGCAGAAGCUCUAGGAGGAAGAGGACAACUACCCCCAUGGAGGAGGAUCUCUUCCUUGGUCAGGGGUAUAUGAGUAGCUGCGCUUCCCUGCUAGAAACACCAAACAAGCUCAUAGGGUCAGGGAUUUAGCUCAGCGGCACCGCGCCUGCCUCGCAAGCGCAAGGU
rfam:Heterocephalus glaber contig173431, whole genome shotgun sequence.